rnacentral:rRNA from 1 species
AGAAUCAACGCUGGCGGCGUGCCUAACACAUGCAAGUCGAACGGGAAAGUGGAGCAAUCCAUGAGUAUAGUGGCGACCGGGUGAGUAACACGUGACUAACCUACCCUUGAGUGGGGGAUAACCUCGGGAAACCGGGGCUAAUACCGCAUAAAAUCUUCGGGAUGAGAAGCUGGAGAUCAAAGGAGCAAUUCGCUUUUGGAGGGGGUCGCGGCUGAUUAGCUAGUUGGCGGGGUAACGGCCCACCAAGGCUUUGAUCGGUAUCCGGCCUGAGAGGGCGCACGGACACACUGGAACUGAAACACGGUCCAGACUCCUACGGGAGGCAGCAGUGGGGAAUUUUGCGCAAUGGGGGAAACCCUGACGCAGCAACGCCGCGUGGAGGAUGAAGUCCCUUGGGACGUAAACUCCUUUCGACCGGGAAGAUGAUGACGGUACCGGUGGAAGAAGCCCCGGCUAACUUCGUGCCAGCAGCCGC